CAAAUGCCUCGUCAUCCAAUUAGUGACGCGCAUGAAUGGAUUAACGAGAUUCCCACUGUCCCUAUCUACUGUCUAGCGAAACCACAGCCAAGGGAACGGGCUUGGAAAAAUCAGCGGGGAAAGAAGACCCUGUUGAGCUUGACUCUAGUUUGACUUUGUGAAGAGACAUGGGAGGUGUAGCAUAAGUGGGAGACUUCGGUUGACAGUGAAAUACCACUACUCCCAUCGUUUCUUUACUUACUCGAUGAGGCGGAGUGCGAUUCUUAUCAGAAUCACCCUACUUGCGCAAAGUGUCGGACUGUCUAUCAGGCAGUCUGCACGAUCCGAUUCGAGGACAUUGUCAGGCGGGGAGUUUGACUGGGGCGGUACAUCUGUCAAAUACUAACGCAGGUGUCCUAAGGUUGGCUCCGUCAGGACAGAAACCUGGCUUAGAGCAAAAGGGCAAAUGCCAGCUUGAUCUACGACGUUCAGU
rnacentral:rRNA from 1 species